CGGGUAGGAGUAACGCGUGAGGAACCUGCCUCAAAGAGGGGGGCAACAGUUGGAAACGACUGCUAAUACCGCAUAAGCCCACAGCUCGGCAUCGAGCAGAGGGAAAAGGAGCAAUCCGCUUUGAGAUGGCCUCGCGUCCGAUUAGCUAGUUGGUGAGGUAACGGCCCACCAAGGCGACGAUCGGUAGCCGGACUGAGAGGUUGAACGGCCACAUUGGGACUGAGACACGGCCCAG
rnacentral:rRNA from 1 species